rnacentral:rRNA from 1 species
UACGUAGGGUGCGAGCGUUAAUCGGAAUUACUGGGCGUAAAGCGUGCGCAGGCGGUUUUGUAAGUCAGAUGUGAAAGCCCCGGGCUUAACCUGGGAACUGCAUUUGUGACUGCAUGGCUGGAGUGCGGCAGAGGGGGAUGGAAUUCCGCGUGUAGCAGUGAAAUGCGUAGAUAUCUGGAGGAACACCGGUGGCGAAGGCGGCAUCCUGGACCAAGACUGACACUGAGGAGCGAAAGCCAGGGGAGCAAACGGG